UGGCAUCUGAAUACCCUCCGCUUUUUCUACGGCGAGUUCUCGCCGGCCGUCGUCAAGAGCAAAAUCAUCGUUUCCCUUUUCCGUUCACUUAAUACCCUUUUGAAAAACCCUAAUUUUGAUCCGAUUCUUUCAGCUCACCGUUCAAUUCUUUACCUCAUUCCGUUGACCUAACUUUUCAAUUCACCGAUUUCUUUUCCAAUUCUCUGAUUUCAUCAAUCCCGAUGGCCUUUCUUCGCUUCUUGUAAGGUUUUUACAACUCUCCCCGUUAGUUUCCGAACCCACAAUUCUCUACAUCUUGCUCGGUUUAUUACAAUUUGUAGUUAUGGCGAUCCGGUUCACAGUCACCUAUUCCGGCUACUUAGCCCAAAACCUAGCUUCAUCGGCUUCUUCGAAAGUCGUUGGUUGCAGGUUUUUUCACGAAUGUACUGUCCGAUCUCGAAUUUUCCAUCCACCAGCUCAAAAACCCGAAUCAAAUUGCUCCGAUUUCCGCCGGACAAAACCGAAACCACGGCCGGUGAGUAAUACUUACUCUUCCCGGUCGUUUUCGUCCAGUUCAGCGUGUUCUUCGUUUGCUUCUGAGCUUUUUGGCGGAAGUUCGAAUUCACCUUUGGUUGUUGGAUUGAUUUCGCUGAUGAGGUCCUCUUCUGGGUCUUGUACCAUGAAUGCGUUGGGGAUUUCGCCAUUGAAAGCGUCUUCGUUUCUUCCAUUUCUUCAGGGCUCGAAAUGGCUUCCUUGUAAUGAGCCCAGUAUUGGGUCCUCGGGGAGUUCCGAGGUGGAUAAUGGUGGAACUGAAACUAGGUGUAGUGAAAGUUCUGUUCGGUCGGAGCCUUUGUCCAAUGAAAUGAAGGUUUCCAAGAGCCGUUGGGUGUCAAAGUUGUUGAACAUCUGUUCUGAUGAUGCAAAGGCUGCUUUUACAGCUUUGAGUGUUAGCAUAAUGUUUAAGUCAUCUUUGGCUGAGCCAAGAUCAAUUCCAUCUGCUUCCAUGUCCCCUACUCUGGAUAAGGGUGACCGUAUAAUGGCUGAAAAGGUUUCAUAUUUUUUUCGGCAACCUGACAUUUCAGACAUAGUGAUAUUUAAAGCACCACCAAUCCUUCAGCAUAUUUUUGGUUGUAGUGCUGGAGACGUCUUCAUUAAAAGAGUUGUUGCAUUAGCUGGGGAUUAUAUUGAAGUGCGUGAGGGUAAACUGUUUUUGAAUGGUGUUGCUCAAGAUGAAGAUUUCAUUUUAGAGCCUAUUGCGUAUGAAAUGGAACCAGUGCUUGUUCCUGAAGGCUGUGUGUUCGUGAUGGGGGACAAUCGCAAUAAUAGCUAUGAUUCUCACAACUGGGGUCCACUUCCCGUUGCAAACAUUGUCGGUAGGUCAGUAUUCAGAUAUUGGCCCCCAUCCAGGGUGUCGGACACCCUGCAUGGAUCAGUAAUGGAGAAGAGAGUAGUUGCAGUUUCUUGACCCUGUCUAAGAUGGAGGUGUUCUACUGACUUCUUUCAUCUCUUUAUUCUUUUACUGAUCAUUCUCUGCCUUCUGGCUCAUUGGAUCAGCUGUAUAAUCUUUCCCAUCCCAGCUGCCGUUGUUCGAUCCACAAUUUGAACAACUUUGAGGAUGGAUUAUCUUAAUCCGCCUGUGUGAUUGUUUUUCUCAAGCGGCCCUAUAUUGGGUUUUUGCAAUUUUAUGUAGUGCAAAGUCUCAGAGAUAAAGCUGAUCAUUGGAAUUAGCAAACUCAGUUGUCAUGAAGAACUGGAACAUUUUCCCUUUCUCCUUAACCGUGGAGUGGAGACCAGACUAGGGAGACACGAUGGUGUAUCCAACAAAGUUUCAGCUGUAAAUCGCGACACAAUAUUCUGAGGCUGAACAUGUUUAAUAUUUGCUUGUAUUCCUGCUGAAUGUAGUGAAUUAUGAAGUAUGGUCUCUAUAU
rnacentral:misc_RNA from 1 species